rnacentral:rRNA from 1 species
AGUGAACGCUGGCGGUAGGCCUAACACAUGCAAGUCGAACGGCAGCACAGGAGAGCUUGCUCUCUAGGUGGCGAGUGGCGGACGGGUGAGGGGUACACCUGAAUCUGCCCAGUCGCGUGGGAUAACGCAUGGAAACUUACACUAUUACCGCAUACGCCCUUCGGGUGAAAGAGGGGGAUCGCAAGACCUCUCGCGCUUGGAUGAGCCGAUGUCGGAUUAGCUAGUUAGCGGGGUAAUGGCCCACCAAGGCGACGAUCCGUAGCUGGUCUGAGAGGAUGAUCAGCCACACUGGAACUGAGACACGGUCCAGACUCCUACGGGAGGCAGCAGUGGGGAAUAUUGGACAAUGGGCGCAAGCCUGAUCCAGCCAUACCGCGUGGGUGAAGAAGGCCUUCGGGUUGUAAAGCCCUUUUGUUGGGAAAGAAAAGUUUCAGGCUAAUACCCUGGGAGGAUGACGGUACCCAAAGAAUAAGCACCGGCUAACUUCGUG